GCGAACAUGUGAGUGCAAGCGAAUCCCAAAAUAACGUCUCAGUUCGGAUUGUAGUCUGCAACUCGACUACAUGAAGCUGGAAUCGCUAGUAAUCGCGAAUCAGAAUGUCGCGGUGAAUACGUUCCCGGGUCUUGUACACACCGCCCGUCACACCAUGGGAGUCAGUAACGCCCGAAGCCGGUGACCUAACCGAAAGGGAGGAGCCGUCGAAGGUGGGACCGAUAACUGGGGUGAAGUCGUAACAAGGUACC
rnacentral:rRNA from 1 species